ACAGCGGGAGUUUAGUACCUUCUGUGCUUACAAAACUCUAUGUUUGUGGUGAAUGAAAUUCUGAAAAAAACGCAUCAGGAUGGGCGUGCUCAAGCACCAGCCAUGAACAGGAGAAAGAGCUGGUAAAGACAGAGCGGAGCACAGAGCUGCUCUCUCUAAUCUGCCUCCCAUGUCCUAAUUACCCUCACAGCCUAGCAGGCUUUUCACACUGGUACAGAUACCUGGGUGUGAAGACAAUACGUCACCAUAAAGCCCUAACACCUCGCUGAAACCAAUAAAGAACCACCAACCUCCACCAAGUUCACCUUGACCUGUGCAUGACAAUGGUCCUUCAAGACCUUCCCUCACAUCACCACCACUCUACAAUGUGAGCUAACAUGCUAAUAGAACAUUUCAUUCCACUAUUACUUCCUCAUUCCUCUUAUUGUGAUCUACACUACUCUGGGAAGGCUUUCCACCAGACUUUGGGGCACGGCUGUGGGGUACUAGAGCAUUGUUCACAUUCAACACUGAUGUAUGUUGUUGAGGAAGUUCUGGUUCCUCUGUGCAGGACGAUAUCAGAACGAGGUAUCUCUGAGAAAGAUCAGAACAAGGUAUAAAAUACGAGGUAUCACUAAAGGAUCAUGAUGAGGAACCAAAAUGAGGUUUCACUGUGAAGGAUCAGAACGAGGUAUCAGAAUGAGGUCUCACAUAAUGUUAAUCAUUCGAUUAUAUUCUCUGCUAUUUCCAGUCCACAUUGAUCUGAGAGGCUGAGACACACACACACACACACACACACACACACACACACACACACACACACACACACACACACACACAGCACAGAAACUUUCCCCAUGAUGUCACCACAGGAAAUCAGAACAUUUCUCCAUCUUUCCUACAGUUUCUACGUUUUUUUUCAUCAUGCAGCUGCGGUUGCCCAGCGACUUUCUCCAUGACAACAGAUCAAAGAGGGCAUCGGUCGCCAUGCCGACCAUCAUCACUUCUGUAUCUCUAACAGUGUUCUAUAUAACGAUACACUGAAGGAAGGAGUCUCCAGUGUCAGAGGAAGAUCUCCUACAUCUUCAGGACAGAGGAGGUUACGCUUCUUUACGGUGUCUCUAAAGAAAGGACGGGGAGAGAACGUGUGUUUGUAGCUGCUAUAACGUCAGUGAGAGCAGGACGGGAUUCGACUCAUGGAGGCUCCACAGAGGAACAAACGUCUGAUAAACAAAAGACUGCAGUGAAAGAGAGUUUCUCUCAGUUUUCAGCUUUUCAAUUAAUAAAGAGUUUUAAAUGUA